AACGAGGCCGACCUGCGGCUGAGUUACCUGCGGAAGGAUCAUUAUGAAUUUGAACUUGUGUAGCUGUUUCAUUUACUUGAACGCUCGCAAUUCUUUUUCUGUGAACUGUUCUCGAGUUUUUCAUUUCUUUUAAUGAAGACUCGGGUCAUUUUUUGUUUUCUUGAUUUUUUAUUCCAUAUUUUUUUUUUUGGAGUAGUUCUUGCAAAAGAAUGAAAGAAAAAAAAAUAAUAAACCAAGACA
rnacentral:misc_RNA from 1 species